rnacentral:lncRNA from 1 species
AUUACCUUUCUCUUUCACCGACAAUUUACCUUGUCUGAGAGAAAGACUAGAUUCAGAUUCAAUCUAGCUAGAGUCGUUGAGAACCCUCAAACGACUCCGUCCUGUUUCAAACUUUGCAACUGGUACACUCUUUGUGAGAAUAUCAGCUGGAUUCUCCAAAGUACCAAUCUUAGACACCACAACCGAUCCGUCAGCAACAACAUCUCUGAUGAAGUGGAGACGCACGUCUAUAUGUUUCGUCCUUUCGUGAAAGACGCUCUUUCGAGCUAAACAUAGCGCACUUUGUGAAUCACAGAAGAUCUCCGCUUGCUUCUGUUCAAUUCCAAACUCAGAGGUAAUACCUUUUAACCACAGAGCUUCUUUUGUAGCUUCUACUAACGCCAUAUAUUCGGCUUCAGUUGUAGACAGAGCUACAAUGUGUUGAAGUCCCGAACGCCAGCUCACAGUGUUCCCACCUACUUGGAAC